CACAAAGUGAUUUACUUCUGCAAGUCUAAUAACCAUACAACAGAAUAACACAAUGAAGGAUGAUUUCAUACAUUACACAGAAAAGGAACCACUUAGUCCCAAAUCUGCAAGUAAUGGCUAUUACAAUCCUGCUUUCCAACAUGAUGAAAUACCAGAGCAGAAUAGCGAGUUACAGAAGAACAAGAAAAAAAAGAAAAAUGAGGAGUCAAAGGAAAAGAUGGUUGGCAUUUUGAAACUGUUUGGGUAUGCCGAUUGGCUGGAUAUCAUUUUGAUGAUAAUAGGCUUGAUUGCAGCUGUUGCAAAUGGAACAGGGAUGCGAC